rnacentral:rRNA from 1 species
GACGAACGCUGGCGGCGUGCUUAACACGUGCAAGUCGAACGAUGAAGCCUAGCUUGCUAGGUGGAUUAGUGGCGAACGGGUGAGUAAUACGUGAGUAACCUACCUUUAACUCUGGGAUAAGCCUGGGAAACUGGGUCUAAUACCGGAUACGACCAAUCUCCGCAUGGGGUGUUGGUGGAAAGCGUUAUGUAGUGGUUAUAGAUGGGCUCACGGCCUAUCAGCUUGUUGGUGAGGUAACGGCUCACCAAGGCGACGACGGGUAGCCGGCCUGAGAGGGUGACCGGCCACACUGGGACUGAGACACGGCCCAGACUCCUACGGGAGGCAGCAGUGGGGAAUAUUGCACAAUGGGCGCAAGCCUGAUGCAGCGACGCCGCGUGAGGGAUGACGGCCUUCGGGUUGUAAACCUCUGUUAGCAGGGAAGAAGAGAAAUUGACGGUACCUGCAGAGAAAGCGCCGGCUAACUACGUG